rnacentral:sRNA from 1 species
GCCCGGCUUGGCGCGAUAAACAGGCGCGACCGCACGCACGGUGCGGUCGGCGGCGCUUA